GGAUAUGAGGGUGAUCUGGCUACAACAUCUGUCACCCCAUUUAUGGCCAAGGUUGAUCCAGAUGAUCUGGCUGGGGGAGAGGUGUUCCCUUCUCCCCUGCCCACUCCAUGUGUGUCCCUCCCAAAGCUGUGGACCCGGUCAGAGAGGACAAUCACCCCCUGAGAGAGGGGACAGUUUCCUCGGUCAAGGAUAUACAAGUAGCUGUGCUCUCCUGCUAAAACCUUCAAACAAGCUCUCAAAAAGUAUUAUAAUAGAAUUAAGAGGAACAUUUUAGAUGACACAAUAUAGAUUCUAUGAAACAAGACAGAAAAGAUAAAACACAAUCCAAAUUCAUA
rfam:Heterocephalus glaber contig29227, whole genome shotgun sequence.